rnacentral:lncRNA from 1 species
UGCCUGGGGAGCAGGGUGCUGAGCUGGGGUUGGUGAGCGGCUCCUGGGGGUGUUUGCCAUGCAGCUGUUUGCCUAAAAAUGCAGAUAUAUGUAUAAAAAGUGCUCUUUCCAACAUGAAAACUUGGCAGUAGGGCAUGCCACCCACUUUGAGCGCCGGAUGUGCAGCACUUAGAGUCCUCUGAGGCCGUUAAGUGAAGGCUGGGAUGGAAGUGCUCUGCCAGCCUGUGCUGAACCUAUUUGAGAUGAGAGUUUCACCGAAACCAACAGGAGAGAGCUUGGCUGUACCCUGGCUUCCUAUCGGGAUGGGCUUUUAACCCUUAACUACCUAUGGUGUUGUGGGACAGCAAAUAAUCCAGCAGGGAAACCUGGGCUUUGUAAGCCAAGGGCAUGGUGCACAGUGGUUGCCAAGAGUGCAAUCUGUGCUUAUUAUCUCCAUAAUAUACAUCAUCUGAUUCACUGCCAGUGCUUGCUUCCGCCUCUCUGCUGUGCUACGCCCCCCUCCACCCCCCUUCCUGCUCACACAGAGAUAAGAUGUGUUGUUAUAACUGCAAAUGGGGCCCGUGGGACCGUUCCCGAAGCCUUGGCAGCAAAUCGCCCCUCGUCUCUGCAGAUUGCCUUUGACAUCUUUGGAGUUUAAGAUGUAAAAUAAAUAUUUACAUAUAUAUAUAUAUGCACAUAUAAAAUAAAUGUAUAAAAUAUAUGCAAAAUAAAGUAACAGUUGCCUUGCCUUGCAAGUCAGGGAGAAAAAGAAAAUACCAACCAUUUUAUGCAGGACAUAUGGCAUGGUGACAAAACAUUAGGGUUUCCUGUGCAUAGUUUCUACUAUUUCCUCUGCACACUUGGUGCAGUCUCUGGAAGCUUGCACGAGUAGAGGUUGAUCUUUUGGGUUAAUGUCAGUUGGUCCUGAUUUUUGUUUCCGGUAUGGGUUGUAUUGACAGGAAUCCUGAAUUUGUGUUUUAUUUUCCAUCUUCCUGCACAGCAUCCAGCACAGCUGGCUGGGAGCCCUUGGGCACACUUUGCUGCAGCAGUUCCUGGUCUUUGAGGCUGUGAUGGUGCCAGUAUGUGACAACUGCGUGAGCUUGCAGAAGAACCAGUUCUGCUCAGCUUUGGCUUUUGAAGAGAAGAAAUGAUUGCUGGAGAAGCUCAGCUGGGCAGCAGGCUGCUGCAUUGGGCUGCUGCGUUGGGCAUGGUGUAGGAAACGAAACACACCACGGUGUGGGAUUGCUGCCCUGGGCGAUGGGAGAACUUGGCUUUAAAAGAAAAGCAGAGAUUUCUUUUCCCCCAUCCAUUUGUGCAGAAAAACCCUCUGAGCGGGGCGUGAUUUCCUCCCUUGGCUGAGAUCACCUGCCUCUGGCUCUCAGCUACCAGCAGCCCGGGUGUCCAAAAUAAGAUGUGGGCACUCAUUGUGGUUGCUGGGCAAAGCUUGCUCUUCCUCAGACCCAGCCCAGGAGUAUGUUGGGGUGUGGUGUGGUGCAGAGGGUGCUCUGUAAGACGUGGGCACUUUGGGCUGGAGGGCUGGGAGCAGCCUGUGGGAUGGGAAGGAGUACACAGCCAUGGACGACCUCAAUGGGACAGAAGGCCUCCCAGACCCUGCAUUGAGGAGAAUGAGCUCAAGCUGGAGGAAGGGCAGCUCUCACCUGCAGAGGCCUCUUCUGAAAAGAAGGGUGCCCCAAGAGUAGGGCCUAAAAUGGGUGAAUCUGCCACUAACUGUCCAUUCCCCAGAGGAAUCAGAAAGAAGUCAGGAUUUUGUUUUCUUUCUGCUUUCAAACUCCAUUGGGAUUUUGUGUGUAGCCCCACUAAGUUAAUGAACACAGAUGGGUGCCAAUAGGAGUUUACUUUGUGGCUAGGGAUUCAGGAAGAGCUCCAGAGCAGACAAUCCUCCCACCAUUUGCAUCGAAUCAUAGGCUCUUAGAGCCAUUAUGGUUGGAAAAGACCUCUAAGAUCAUCCAGUCCAACCCAGCCCACCCCCACCAUGCCCACUGACUACGUCCCUCAGUGCCACAUCUCUAAGGACGGUGACUCCACCACCUCCAUCACCACUCUUUCUGAGAAGAAGUAUUUCCUCAUAUCCAGGCUGAACGCUGACCUGCAUGGAGCCACCACAUCUUCAGCAGCUCUCCUACUGCAGCUUCUUUUUGUAAUGAAAAACUAUGGGAUUUGCAAAGGAAGAUGAGACUGUCUUCUAUCUGAGCAACAUACUGUAGCAAAUCUGUGGUAGCUCAGUGUUCACCAAGUGGAGAGCACCAGGGCUCCCAGACAGGAGGAUGGAGCUCACUACAUCAAGCACAGCAAGCCAGGAGCUUCUUGAAUUGCUUCUGUUCUGCUGAGACUGGAAUUUGUUGGAGGCUCACCUGUGCUGACAUGACCUUGUGUAGCAGAAAUGCUAAAUCACAGCUUGAAGCAGUGAUUGAGCACCUGGUGGGAAGGCAGGGCCAACCCAGGGGAGCUCAGGUGUGUGCAAUGCAGCUGAGUGACCGGAAUGGGUGAAGCCAGGAUCCACCCCUUUCCAGACCUCAUUUAAGGGUUGGCAGUGAAGGCAAGGGUAUCUUCCUGGAGAUCCCUGCAUAUCUGAGGCCUUUUGAAGGUAGAUGCGCAGUACCAAACACAUGGGACCUGAGUUCUGGCCUGGGUUCGCAGCAGUGGGAACCAUGAUGUCAUUACGAGUUGGAAACCUUGUGCAGUGCUCGGCAUGGAACGGGUGGGGGGACUGAUGGGUUAGUCAGCAUGGAGCUGAGGCAGCGACAGAUUUACUGCUCCUUACACUUCCAUACGACUGAGGGAGAGGAAGCCUUGCCCAGCAUGAAGGUAUCCAUCGGGGGUUACAAGGUCAGCAUUCAAGAUGUUGGGUUACGUUCCAGGCCAAAAGCGAAAUGAUGAGUGACAUGGCCCACUGUCAUCGGAAUAUAUCAUCGUGAUCUUGUGCUAUUUCUGAUUGGUGCAGAAGCAGGAAAUUCCAGCAGUCUCCCAAGCAAGCUCUCUCCUCUGGGAUUCUGUCUGUGCUGGCAUCCCUGUCAGGGCUGGGAGGUCCCUGAGUGAUUGCACCUGGACGUGUGUUACCUGCUGCUUCUCCACCCUUGAGAUGUAUGAUCACAUCAGGACAACUGGUCAGGAUGUGCUACAGAGCAGCAUUUUUAGUCUCCUUGACUUAGCAGAAAUGACAGAUGGCUGCGGCUGGGAUGGAGCCGUUCCUUUCCCUGCUCAGAAGAGGGCAAUCAGCAAAACCUCAGGGCAGCUCCAAGGGACAUGAGAGUCUUGCUUUACACACGCACAGAGCAGCCCUGGAAGGAGUGAAAUGAAGAACUGUCAAGGAAAGUUGGAGGAGUUGUGCUGUCCCAAGCGUGCAGGCACGGUGCUUGUAAAACCACAGGGUGUGAGCGUGGUAUUAGCAAGCCUUUGUGUCAUCUCCAGGGGAGAGCUGAGUCCCAUUGAAGGCAGAGGACAGACGUCAUUCAGAGGUGAGGUUAAGUCAGUCCUGGGCACGUUCAGAGCUCCUAACCACAGCUGGGGCUGAAACUUCUCUUCCAAAACUUUUUCUUUCAUUUAAAACAAAAAUAAUAAUAAUUAAAAAAAAAAAAAUUAAUGAGAUACAAAUUUCUCUGGAAUGUAUCUGCUAUUUUCUAAAACCAUCCAUGCUCUGUCAGUAACUCAAAGCCAGAGCAUCGUGGCUGAACAAAACAUUUGAGAAGCUUUUCAGUUGAAAAGAUGUAUGUUUUGGAAUUGAAAAUCCUUUUUUAUGGCUUUCAUUUUUAUGGGAACACUGGAAAAUUUCUGACUGGUAAGCUUUUUAUUCUCAGAAGCCAAGUACUAUUUUCUGAAACAGACGUUUCUGCGCUUUUUUCCUCGUGUAUUUUUUCCUCCCUUUUGCAGCUCAGAGCAUUUCCCUCUGCUUGCUGGACUCCUGCUUGAAAACCAAGUGUGAGAUAUGAGUGCUGUGCUGUAAGCUUGUCGCCUGGCUCGCCGCGUUGGGCCUGCUGAGCAAUCAGCCAGGCUGGCACUCGGGGCUGAUUGCAGCCACAGAAAUGGAAGCUAUUUAGAAUCAUAGAAUCAUUAUGGUUGGAAAAGACCUCUAAGAUCACCCAGUCAAACCAUUCACCUGUAUGUAUACAAAUAUACUGCCAGUACUACCUACUAAGCGUGUCCCUCACUACCACAUCUUCAUGUUUCUGGUUCUGGGCCUGUGCUGCUCUGCUAGGCCUGCUGGGAGCAGGCCAGCUCUUGCUGUGGUUCAAUGAGUUUAACUAAGCUGCUCUGUGUGGGGAAGGGGUUGGUUGGAGGGGUUUGCCAUGGGGGUUGGUUGGUGAUGCUUCCUGGCUCAGUUCUCUUAACCGUAGUGGUGUUACACUCAGUCUGAUGCAAGUGUGAAGCUGUGGCUUCAAAUGUGUUAUUUUGAUGUCUUUGACACAACAGAACAUGCUCACCUUGCACACCACAACAAUUUAGACUAAUUCCAGUGAAGAAGAGAUGGG